AGGCUGCACAACACACAAGUAUCAUCAACAGUUAGUCAGGCGGGAGAAUUACAUAUAUGUUCCAUCAAGAGAGUUUGACAAAAUGAAAUACUGGGGGAAGAAGGAGCAUUUCAAACCAGCUGUGACUAUGAAGCCAUACAUUGUUGGACGAUAUACUCAAAUCACAAGAACACAGAAAUAUCUAGGAUAUCUUAUAGCUACCCAUAUCAUAUCAUAUUUUGUACAGAUAUCUAAUAAGAUUAGGAUUAUGUCGCACUUGUAACCCCAAAUAUCCAUCAGCACCCAAAUAUCUAGGCUUAAUGCGUCUGUCAAUUGUUCAUCAUCAAUAUAUAGUCCAUGUCCCAAAAAAGGAGAAAAUAUACGUUAGCAGAAUUGCAGAGAUAGAGUUGUUUGUCACAUCUAUAACACACAAUCACAUAUUCACAUAAAAAAUCUAAAACAAACUCAGAAAACCUACUUCAAAAUGGAACUACACAUACUUAACAAUUCAACAUAAACUUCACCAGAGAAUAAUCCUAUACAUUUUCUCACAAGUACUACUUGAUAGAAAA